rnacentral:misc_RNA from 1 species
AAGGAUCAUUAACCCUUUCAAAUCAGGGUGCGGCGCGGCCCCCGAGGAGCGGAAACAAUCCUUGGGAGGUAUGCGGGGGCUUCGAGCCCCCCAUUUACGCACGCACGACUGCCAUCCUUACUUUACGAGCACCUUCUGUUCUCCCUCGGCGGGGCAACCUGCCGUUGGAACCGAAUAAACUCUUUUUGCAUCUAGCAUUACCUGUUCCGAAACAAACAAUCGUUACAACUUUCAACAAUGGAUCUCUUGGCUCUGGCAUCGAUGAAGAACGCAGCGAAAUGCGAUAAGUAGUGUGAAUUGCAGAAUUCAGUGAAUCAUCGAAUCUUUGAACGCACAUUGCGCCCCUCGGUAUUCCGUGGGGCAUGCCUGUUCGAGCGUCAUCUACACCCUCAAGCUCUGCUUGGUGUUGGGCGUCUGUCCCGCCUCCGCGCGUGGACUCGCCCCAAAUUCA